rnacentral:rRNA from 1 species
GACGAACGCUGGCGGCGUGCUUAACACAUGCAAGUCACGGGGGCCCGCAAGGGUAACCGGCGAACGGGUGCGUAACACGUGAGCAAGCUUCCGAUUAGUGGGGGAUAGCCGGCCUAACGGCCGGGGUAAUACCGCAUACGUUCACCGGACGGCAUCGUCUGGUGAGGAAACCUCCGGGGCUAAUCGAGGCGCUCGCGGCCUAUCAGCUAGUUGGCGGGGUAACGGCCCACCAAGGCAAUGACGGGUAGCUGGUCUGAGAGGAUGGCCAGCCACAUUGGGACUGCGACACGGCCCAGACUCCUACGGGAGGCAGCAGUGGGGAAUAUUGCGCAAUGGACGAAAGUCUGACGCAGCGACGCCGCGUGUAGGAUGAAGCCUUUCGGGGCUGUAAACUACUGUUGCCCCGGGACGAAAACCCCUCCUUUUCGAGGAGAUUGACGGUACCGGGUGAGGAAGCACCGGCUAACUCUGUGCCAGCAGCCGCGGUAAUACAGAGGGUGCGAGCGUUGUCCGGAAUCACUGGCGUAAAGGGUGCGUAGGUGGCUUGGUAAGCGUGUGGUGAAAGUCCGGGGCUCAACCCCGGCAUCUGCCGUGCGAAACUGCUAGGCUUGAGCUAUGUAGAGGCAGGUGGAAUUUCGGGUGUAGCGGUGGAAUGCGUAGAGAUCCGAAAGAACACCAGUGGCGAAGGCGGCCUGCUGGGCCAUAUGCUGACACUGAGACACGACAGCGUGGGGGAGCAAACAGGAUUAGAUACCCUGGUAG